AUUGAACGCUGGCGGCAGGCCUAACACAUGCAAGUCGAACGAGUGGCGGACGGGUGAGUAAUGUCUGGGAAACUGCCCGAUGGAGGGGGAUAACUACUGGAAACGGUAGCUAAUACCGCAUACCAUCGGAUGUGCCCAGAUGGGAUUCGCUAGUAGGUGGGGUAAAGGCUCACCUAGGCGACGAUCCCUAGCUGGUCUGAGAGGAUGACGAGCCACACUGGAACUGAGACACGGGCCAGACGCCUACGGGAGGCAGCAGUGGGGAAUAUUGCACAAUGGGCGCAAGCCAGAUGCAGCCAUGCCGCGUGUAUGAAGAAGGCCUUCGGGUUGUAAAGUACUUUCAGCGAGGAGGCGUUACUCGCAGAAGAAGCACCGGCUAACUCCGUGCCAGCCGCCGCGGUAAUAC
rnacentral:rRNA from 1 species